rnacentral:rRNA from 1 species
AACGUAGGAGACAAACGUUAUCCGGAGUUACUGGGCGUAAAGGGCGUGUAGGUGGUUGCGUAAGUCUGGCGUGAAAUUUUUCGGCUUAACCGGGAAAGGUCGUCGGAUACUGCGUAGCCAGAGGACGGUAGAGGCGUGUGGAAUUCCGGGUGUAGUGGUGAAAUGCGUAGAGAUCCGGAGGAACACCAGUGGCGAAGGCGACACGCUGGGCCGUACCUGACACUGAUGCGCGACAGCAUGGGGAGCAAACAGG